rnacentral:rRNA from 1 species
AGUAACGGCGAGUGAAGCGGCAACAGCUCAAAUUUGAAAUCUGGCCUUUGGCCCGAGUUGUAAUUUGUAGAGGAUGCUUUUGGUGCGGUGCCUUCCGAGUUCCCUGGAACGGGACGCCUUAGAGGGUGAGAGCCCCGUACGGUUGGACGCCUAGCCUCUGUAAAGCUCCUUCAACGAGUCGAGUUGUUUGGGA